GCCGCCGUCGUCACCGCAGCGGUCGCCGCUGCCGCCUGCUCUCCGUGCCGUACUCUCGGUCCCCGGCCGCGCGGAGCCGGGAUGCACUGCUCCUGCUGUGGGUCCUCAUCAUGGAGACUAAACGGGUGGAGAUUCCCUGCAGCGUCCUGGACGAUCUCUGCAGCCGAUUUAUUUUGCAUAUUCCCAGCGAGGAAAGAGACAAUGCUAUCCGAGUGUGUUUUCAGAUUGAACUUGCCCAUUGGUUUUACUUGGAUUUCUACAUGCAGAACACACCAGGAUUACCUCAGUGUGGGAUAAGAGACUUUGCUAAAGCUGUCUUCAGUCAUUGUCCAUUUUUGCUGCCUCAAGGUGAAGAUGUGGAAAAAAUUUUGGAUGAAUGGAAGGAAUAUAAAAUGGGAGUGCCAACAUAUGGUGCAAUUAUUCUUGAUGAGACACUUGAAAAUGUAUUACUGGUUCAGGGGUACCUAGCAAAAUCAGGCUGGGGAUUUCCAAAAGGAAAAGUAAAUAAAGAAGAAGCUCCUCAUGAUUGUGCUGCUAGAGAGGUCUUUGAAGAAACUGGUUUUGAUAUUAAAGAUUAUAUUUGUAAGGAUGAUUACAUUGAACUUCGAAUCAAUGACCAGCUUGCUCGUUUGUACAUCAUUCCAGGAAUUCCAAAAGAUACCAAAUUUAACCCGAAAACCAGAAGAGAAAUUCGGAACAUUGAGUGGUUCUCCAUUGAGAAAUUGCCCUGUCAUAGAAAUGAUAUGACCCCAAAAUCCAAACUUGGUUUGGCACCGAACAAAUUUUUUAUGGCCAUUCCUUUUAUCAGACCAUUAAGGGACUGGCUUUCUCGAAGAUUUGGCGAUUCCUCAGAUAGCGACAAUGGAUUUUCCUCAGCUGGUAGCACACCAGCUAAACCCACUGUGGAAAAAUUGAGUCGAACCAAAUUCCGCCACAGUCAGCAAUUAUUUCCUGAAGGUUCUCCCGGUGACCAGUGGGUAAAGCACAGGCAACCACUGCAACAAAAACCAUAUAAUAAUAAUCAUUCUGAAAUGUCUGACCUUUUAAAAGCAAAGAGUCAAAGUAUGAGGGGAAAUGGCAGAAAACAGUAUCAAGAGUCACCUAAUCAAAAGAAAAGAACAAAUGGGGUCCACAGCCAGCCAGGCAAGCAGCAGAAUCCCUUGAUGAAAUGUGAAAAAAAACUUCCUCCACGAAAGCUUCAGGAUACUUUUGAAACAGAUGCUGUAUAUGACUUACCUUGCUCCGGUGAAGACCAGUUGCUAGAACAUGCCGAGGGCCAGUCUGUGGCAUGUAAUGGACGUUGCAAGUUCCCCUUUUCAUCCAGAGCCUUUUUGAGUUUCAAGUUUGACCAUAAUGCUAUAAUGAAAAUCUUGGACCUUUGAUAGCAACAGAUGUGUUGUGGAAGUCCCAAGAUCAGAGACUUGUUGCAUUUGAGAAUAGACUGUGGAUGGCAGGAAAUGGAAGCAAAGGUUCUCAACUGUGAAUGAAAUUGGGAAAGGUAGUAACUAUUCCUCAGCAGUUUGGUUCGUUAGAUGUGUUAAUAUUGAAUACUUUUGGAACAAAUGAGUAGCCGUACUCUUCAUGUCUUAACACAUACCAUAUGCACUGAUAGAAAAGCACAAAAGACAUAUCUGCAGAGUUUCUUUGUGCAUUUCACUACUGUCCUAGGGCACUGCUGUCUCUGGUGGUCAUUUUAGGUUUGUGUUUGGAUCUUGCACAAGUACCUUUUAAUUUCAAAUGCGAGAGCCCAAAGAACUGAUUCUUUAAUUUUACUUUUUUGCUAAUUUCAUUUCAAAGUUAGGACAGGAGACAGGUAACCUGACUUCCAUUUUAUAAAUAUUAUAAACUGUUUUUCUUCAGUAAUAAAUAGGGAAGGAAAAUAAAACCAUGAACUAUUUUGCAUAUACAUAUAUUUGUGUAUAUAUAUACACACAAUAUAUAUUUUUUCUAAUUGUUUUUGAGGUUUGCUUAUUAGCUUAAUACUUUAUAAAAAAUUCGUCUUUGCUAAGUAUUGAUUCAUACAACUCAGAUUUUUAAUUUUACCUGUUUAAUGAAAUUUUAAGUCUUGUUUCAGAAUAAAAUGAUUAAUCGAAUGGAAUUAUGGUUAUUGUAUUAACUAAAGUGACCAUCAAAAUAA